rnacentral:rRNA from 1 species
AUGAACUGCACCACCGCCGCCCAGGUAUGGGCCGCCCUCAACGCCAUGUUCGCCUCGUCGAACCGAGUGCGUGUGAAUCAGAUCCGCACGCAGCUGUCCAAUCUGAAGAAGAAGGACAUGACAGCCACCGACUACUUCAACAAGAUGAAGAGUCUCGCCGACACCAUGGAGUCCAUCGGGAAGCCUCUCGACGACGAGGACAUCAUGGGCUUCAUCACCGGUGGCCUCGGCUCCGAGUAUGACCCCUUGGUGGCAGCGGUCAACACCAGCACCACCGUGAUCCCACUUGGAGAUUUCUUCUCCUACCUGCUGUCCUUCGAGCAGCGCCUUGAGCAACACAGCGCCCAAUAG